rnacentral:rRNA from 1 species
UACGAAGGGUGCAAGCGUUACUCGGAAUUACUGGGCGUAAAGCGUGCGUAGGUGGUUCGUUAAGUCUGAUGUGAAAGCCCUGGGCUCAACCUGGGAAUGGCAUUGGAAACUGGCGACCUAGAGUGCGGUAGAGGGUAGUGGAAUUCCCGGUGUAGCGGUGAAAUGCGUAGAGAUCGGGAGGAACACCAGUGGCGAAGGCGGCUACCUGGACCAGCACUGACACUGAGGCACGAAAGCGUGGGGAGCAAACAGG